UUAAUAAAUUAAUUACCCAAUUGGCUAGUAUUGGUGUGAAAGUUGAUGAAGAAGAUAAAGCCCUCUUGCUUUUAACCUCUCUUCCACACUCUUUUAAAAGCUUGGUAACAGCUCUAACAGUUGGGAAUGAGACUUUGAAGGUAGAGGAGGUUACCGCAGUUAUCUUUGAUGAUAAAAAGUUCAAGAAGACAUAUAGUAGCAAUAAAGGUGGAGCUUUUAUUGCUGGUUCUAAUCAUGGUAGAAGCAAUUCACAUGGAAAUAAUUUAAGAAAGAAUAGUAGAUCGAGUUCGAGACCACGAGUAGACCAUGAAGAUAGAGAAUGGUACUACUGUCAUGAGAAGGGUCACAUUCAAUACCAUUGUAUGAAGAUGAAGGAAAAUCUUAUAGAAUUAAAACAAUUCAAGAAGAGUCGUGAA
rnacentral:misc_RNA from 1 species